rnacentral:rRNA from 1 species
AAGGUAGCGAAAUUCCUUGUCGGGUAAGUUCCGACCUGCACGAAUGGCGUAACGAUGGCCACACUGUCUCCUCCUGAGACUCAGCGAAGUUGAAGUGGUUGUGAAGAUGCAAUCUACCCGCUGCUAGACGGAAAGACCCCAUGAACCUUUACUGUAGCUUUGCAUUGGACUUUGAAGUUGUAUGUGUAGGAUAGGUGGGAGGCUGUGAAUUUAUAACGCUAGUUAUAGAGGAGCCGUUGGUGAAAUACCACCCUUACACCUUUGAGGUUCUAACUUAGGUCUCUGAAUCGAGAUCGAGGACCGUGCAUGGUGGGCAGUUUGACUGGGGCGGUCUCCUCCUAAAGAGUAACGGAGGAGUUCGAAGGUUACCUAGGUCCGGUCGGAAAUCGGGCUGAUAGUAUAAUGGCAUAAGGUAGCUUAACUGCGAGACUGACAAGUCGAGCAGAUGCGAAAGCAGGACAUAGUGAUCCGGUGGUUCUGAAUGGAAGGGCCAUCGCUCAACGGAUAAAAGGUACUCUGGGGAUAACAGGCUGAUUCCGCCCAAGAGUUCAUAUCGACGGCGGAGUUUGGCACCUCGAUGUCGGCUCAUCACAUCCUGGGGCUGAAGCCGGUCCCAAGGGUAUGGCUGUUCGCCAUUUAAAGUGGUACGUGAGCUGGGUUUAGAACGUCGUGAGACAGUUUGGUCCCUAUCUGCAGUGGGCGUAGGAAGUUUGACGGGGGCUGCUCCUAGUACGAGAGGACCGGAGUGGACAAACCUCUGGUGUACCGGUUGUCACGCCAGUGGCACAGCCGGGUAGCUAAGUUUGGCAGAGAUAAACGCUGAAAGCAUCUAAGCGUGAAACUCGCCCGAAGAUGAGACUUCCCUGGGGGGUAACCCCCCUAAAGAGACGUUAGAGACGAUGACGUUGAUAGGUCGGGUGUGGAAGUGUGGUAACACAUGUAGCUAACCGAUACUAAUUGCUCGUGAGACUUGGCUCC